GAUGAACGCUGGCGGCGUGCCUAAUACAUGCAAGUCGAGCGAACCACUUCGGUGGUGAGCGGCGAGCGGGUGAGUAACACGUAGGUGAUCUGCCCAUCAGACGGGGACAACGAUUGGAAACGAUCGCUAAUACCGGAUAGGACGAAAGUUUAAAGGUGCUUCUGGCACCGCUGAUGGAUGAGCCUGCGGCGCAUUAGCUAGUUGGUAGGGUAAAGGCCUACCAAGGCGACGAUGCGUAGCCGACCUGAGAGGGUGAACGGCCACACUGGGACUGAGACACGGCCCAGACUCCUACGGGAGGCAGCAGUAGGGAAUCUUCGGCAAUGGGCGAAAGCCUGACCGAGCAACGCCGCGUGAAUGAUGAAGGCCUUCGGGUUGUAAAAUUCUGUUAUAAGGGAAGAACGACUUUAGUAGGAAAUGGCUAGAGUGUGACGGUACCUUAUGAGAAAGCCACGGCUAACUACGUG
rnacentral:rRNA from 1 species